rnacentral:tRNA from 1 species
GCGGUCGUGGCGGAAUGGCAGACGCGCCAGGUUGAGGGCCUGGUGGGUGAAUAACUCGUGUGGGUUCAAAUCCCACCGACCGCA